CUAAGAGGGGACAAGUCAUAACAAGGUAAGCAUUGUAUAAUGAAUUAACUAGAACCAACUUGGCAAAGUGAAAUGAAGUCCACCACCCCAAAACCAAAUGAGCUACUUCCAAACAGCUAACAGAGCAAAUUCAUCUAUGUGGCAAAAUAGAAGUUUUAGAAGUAGAGGUGAAAAGCCAACUAAGCUUGAUGAUAGCUGGUAUCCAAGUAAGAAUCAUAGUUCAGCUUUAGGUUUUCCUAAAAUAUUUCCAAAUUCAAUGAAAACUUAAAAUUUACUUUAAAGAGGGACAGCUCUUUAGAACAAGGAAACAACCUUCAACAGUGGGUAAAAGGUAAGACCUUCGUAGUUGGCCUAAAAGCAGCCAUGAAUUAAGAAAGCGUUCAAGCUCAACAAACCACACAGCUCUUAAUCCCAAUAAAACUUAAUGAACCCAUGACAAACAAUUGGAUUAAUCUAUAAUUAUAUGGAAGAAAUAAUGUUAAUAUUAGUAACAAGAAAUCAUUCUCCCUGCACAAGCUUAAAUCAAAUAUACACUUGAUUGUUAACAAUUUAAUAAGACGAGACCCGUCAGUAGUGUUCUUAUUAAACUAAUUGUAAACCCAACACCGGAGUGCUAUCCAAGAAAAACAAAACAAAGCAAAAGGAACUCUGCAAACAUAAAUUCCACCAGUUUACCAAAAACAUCAUCUUUAGCCUUUCCAGUAUUAGAGGCACUGCCUGCCCAGUGACAUCAGUUCAAAGGCCACGUAUCCUGAGCAUGCAAAGGUAGCAUAAUCACUUGUUCUUUAAAUAAGAACUCAUAAAUGGCUAGAUGAGGGCUUGUCUCUUGAUCUCCCCAUGAAAACAUGGGGAUAACAUAAUGACAAGAAGACCCUAUGGAGCUUUAAUUUAUUAGUUUACUCAACCUACCUCAAAGCCACAAGGGCACAAAAACAAAUAUACCUAGACUAAUAAUUUCAGGUGGGUUGACCUCGGAGAAUAAAACCUUCCAAUGAUACUAACUUAGACACUACAAGUCGAAGUUCUUAUCACCAACUGACCCAAAACUUUUUUCAUCAACGGACCAGCUACCCUAGGGUUAACCGGCCAGUCCUAUUUUAGAGUUCAUGUCGACAAUAGGGUUUACACCCUCAGUGUUGGAUCAGGACAUCCUAAUGGUGCAGCCUUUAUUAAGGGUUCAUCUGUUAAACGAUUAACAGUCCUACGUGAUCUGAAUUUCAGACCAGAGUAAUUCAGGUGGGUUUUUGUCUAUUAAAAACCUCUCCCAGUA
rnacentral:rRNA from 1 species